UUAAGCGACUAAGCGUACACGGUGGAUGCCCUGGCAGUCAGAGGCGAUGAAGGACGUGCUAAUCUGCGAUAAGCGUCGGUGAGGUGAUAUGAACCGUUAUAACCGGCGAUUUCCGAUGGGGAAACCCAGUGUGUUUCGACACACUAUCAUUAACUGAAUCCAUAGGUUAAUGAGGCGAACCGGGGGAACUGAAACAUCUAAGUACCCCGAGGAAAAGAAAUCAACCGAGAUUCCCCCAGUAGCGGCGAGCGAACGGGGAGGAGCCCAGAGCCUGAAUCAGUGUGUGUGUUAGUGGAAGCGUCUGGAAAGGCGCGCGAUACAGGGUGACAGCCCCGUACACAAAAAUGCACAUAUUGUGAGCUCGAUGAGUAGGGCGGGACACGUGGUAUCCUGUCUGAAUAUGGGGGGACCAUCCUCCAAGGCUAAAUACUCCUGACUGACCGAUAGUGAACCAGUACCGUGAGGGAAAGGCGAAAAGAACCCCGGCGAGGGGAGUGAAAAAGAACCUGAAACCGUGUACGUACAAGCAGUGGGAGCCUCUUAAUGGGGUGACUGCGUACCUUUUGUAUAAUGGGUCAGCGACUUAUAUUCUGUAGCAAGGUUAACCGAAUAGGGGAGCCGAAGGGAAACCGAGUCUUAACUGGGCGUUAAGUUGCAGGGUAUAGACCCGAAACCCGGUGAUCUAGCCAUGGGCAGGUUGAAGGUUGGGUAACACUAACUGGAGGACCGAACCGACUAAUGUUGAAAAAUUAGCGGAUGACUUGUGGCUGGGGGUGAAAGGCCAAUCAAACCGGGAGAUAGCUGGUUCUCCCCGAAAGCUAUUUAGGUAGCGCCUCGUGAAUUCAUCUCCGGGGGUAGAGCACUGUUUCGGCAAGGGGGUCAUCCCGACUUACCAACCCGAUGCAAACUGCGAAUACCGGAGAAUGUUAUCACGGGAGACACACGGCGGGUGCUAACGUCCGUCGUGAAGAGGGAAACAACCCAGACCGCCAGCUAAGGUCCCAAAGUCAUGGUUAAGUGGGAAACGAUGUGGGAAGGCCCAGACAGCCAGGAUGUUGGCUUAGAAGCAGCCAUCAUUUAAAGAAAGCGUAAUAGCUCACUGGUCGAGUCGGCCUGCGCGGAAGAUGUAACGGGGCUAAACCAUGCACCGAAGCUGCGGCAGCGACACUAUGUGUUGUUGGGUAGGGGAGCGUUCUGUAAGCCUGUGAAGGUGUACUGUGAGGUAUGCUGGAGGUAUCAGAAGUGCGAAUGCUGACAUAAGUAACGAUAAAGCGGGUGAAAAGCCCGCUCGCCGGAAGACCAAGGGUUCCUGUCCAACGUUAAUCGGGGCAGGGUGAGUCGACCCCUAAGGCGAGGCCGAAAGGCGUAGUCGAUGGGAAACAGGUUAAUAUUCCUGUACUUGGUGUUACUGCGAAGGGGGACGGAGAAGGCUAUGUUGGCCGGGCGACGGUUGUCCCGGUUUAAGCGUGUAGGCUGGUUUUCCAGGCAAAUCCGGAAAAUCAAGGCUGAGGCGUGAUGACGAGGCACUACGGUGCUGAAGCGACAAAUGCCCUGCUUCCAGGAAAAGCCUCUAAGCAUCAGGUAACAUCAAAUCGUACCCCAAACCGACACAGGUGGUCAGGUAGAGAAUACCAAGGCGCUUGAGAGAACUCGGGUGAAGGAACUAGGCAAAAUGGUGCCGUAACUUCGGGAGAAGGCACGCUGAUAUGUAGGUGAAGCGACUUGCUCGUGGAGCUGAAAUCAGUCGAAGAUACCAGCUGGCUGCAACUGUUUAUUAAAAACACAGCACUGUGCAAACACGAAAGUGGACGUAUACGGUGUGACGCCUGCCCGGUGCCGGAAGGUUAAUUGAUGGGGUUAGCGGUAACGCGAAGCUCUUGAUCGAAGCCCCGGUAAACGGCGGCCGUAACUAUAACGGUCCUAAGGUAGCGAAAUUCCUUGUCGGGUAAGUUCCGACCUGCACGAAUGGCGUAAUGAUGGCCAGGCUGUCUCCACCCGAGACUCAGUGAAAUUGAACUCGCUGUGAAGAUGCAGUGUACCCGCGGCAAGACGGAAAGACCCCGUGAACCUUUACUAUAGCUUGACACUGAACAUUGAGCCUUGAUGUGUAGGAUAGGUGGGAGGCUUUGAAGUGUGGACGCCAGUCUGCAUGGAGCCGACCUUGAAAUACCACCCUUUAAUGUUUGAUGUUCUAACGUGGGCCCCUUACCGGGGUUGCGGACAGUGUCUGGUGGGUAGUUUGACUGGGGCGGUCUCCUCCUAAAGAGUAACGGAGGAGCACGAAGGUUGGCUAAUCCUGGUCGGACAUCAGGAGGUUAGUGCAAUGGCAUAAGCCAGCUUGACUGCGAGCGUGACGGCGCGAGCAGGUGCGAAAGCAGGUCAUAGUGAUCCGGUGGUUCUGAAUGGAAGGGCCAUCGCUCAACGGAUAAAAGGUACUCCGGGGAUAACAGGCUGAUACCGCCCAAGAGUUCAUAUCGACGGCGGUGUUUGGCACCUCGAUGUCGGCUCAUCACAUCCUGGGGCUGAAGUAGGUCCCAAGGGUAUGGCUGUUCGCCAUUUAAAGUGGUACGCGAGCUGGGUUUAGAACGUCGUGAGACAGUUCGGUCCCUAUCUGCCGUGGGCGCUGGAGAACUGAGGGGGCUGCUCCUAGUACGAGAGGACCGGAGUGGACGCAUCACUGGUGUUCGGGUUGUCAUGCCAAUGGCACUGCCCGGUAGCUAAAUGCGGAAGAGAUAAGUGCUGAAAGCAUCUAAGCACGAAACUUGCCCCGAGAUGAGUUCUCCCUGACUCCUUGAGAGUCCUGAAGGAACGUUGAAGACGACGACGUUGAUAGGCCGGGUGUGUAAGCGCAGCGAUGCGUUGAGCUAACCGGUACUAAUGAACCGUGAGGCUUAACCU
rnacentral:rRNA from 1 species